CAUUACCGAGUUUUCGAGGCUUCGGCUCGACUCUCCCACCCUUUGUGAACGUACCUCUGUUGCUUUGGCGGCUCCGGCCGCCAAAGGACCUCCAAACUCCAGUCAGUAAACGCAGACGUCUGAUAAACAAGUUAAUAAACUAAAACUUUCAACAACGGAUCUCUUGGUUCUGGCAUCGAUGAAGAACGCAGCGAAAUGCGAUAAGUAAUGUGAAUUGCAGAAUUCAGUGAAUCAUCGAAUCUUUGAACGCACAUUGCGCCCCUUGGUAUUCCGGGGGGCAUGCCUGUUCGAGCGUCAUUACAACCCUCAAGCUCUGCUUGGAAUUGGGCACCGUCCUCACUGCGGACGCGCCUCAAAGACCUCGGCGGUGGCUGUUCAGCCCUCAAGCGUAGUAGAAUACACCUCGCUUUGGAGYGGUUGGCGUCGCCCGCCGGACGAACCUUCUGAACUUUUCUCAAGGUUGACCUCGGAUCAGGUAGGGAUACCCGCUGAACUUAAGCAUAUCAAUAAGCGGAGG
rnacentral:rRNA from 1 species